rnacentral:rRNA from 1 species
CCUACGGGUGGCUGCAGUAGGGAAUAUUGCGCAAUGGGGGAAACCCUGACGCAGCGACGCCGCGUGAGUGAUGAAGGCCUUCGGGUCGUAAAGCUCUGUUGUACGGGAAGAAACAAAUGACGGUACCGUAUAAGAAAGGACCGGCUAACUUCGUGCCAGCAGCCGCGGUAAUACGAGGGGUCCUAGCGUUGUUCGGAAUCAUUGGGCGUAAAGAGUAUGUAGGCGGCUAGAUAAGUCAGGUGUGAAAGCCCCGGGCUCAACCCGGGAAGUGCAUU